rnacentral:rRNA from 1 species
UGGAUCCAGACUUUGAUUAUGGCUCAGGAUAAACGCUGGCGGCGCACAUAAGACAUGCAAGUCGAACGGAAGUCGUUAUAAAAUGAAUUGAAGAUUUAUCUGAUUGAAGUUUUAUAACAAUGGCUUUAGUGGCGGACUGGUGAGUAACGCGUGAGCAACCUGCCUACUAGAGGGGAAUAACAGCGAGAAAUCGUUGCUAAUACCGCAUAUGCCGUGAACAUCACAUGAUGAAAACGGGAAAGGAGAAAUUCGCUAGUAGAUGGGCUCGCGUCUGAUUAGAUAGUUGGUGGGGUAACGGCCUACCAAGUCAACGAUCAGUAGCCGGACUGAGAGGUUGAACGGCCACAUUGGGACUGAGAUACGGCCCAGACUCCUACGGGAGGCAGCAGUCGGGAAUAUUGCGCAAUGGAGGAAACUCUGACGCAGUGACGCCGCGUAUAGGAAGAAGGUUUUCGGAUUGUAAACUAUUGUCGUUAGGGAAGAUACAAGACAGUACCUAAGGAGGAAGCUCCGGCUAACUACGUGCCAGCAGCCGCGGUAAUACGUAGGGAGCAAGCGUUAUCCGGAUUUAUUGGGUGUAAAGGGUGCGUAGACGGGAAGGCAAGUUAGUUGUGAAAUCCCUCGGCUCAACUGAGGAACUGCAACUAAAACUAUCUUUCUUGAGUGUUGGAGAGGAAAGUGGAAUUCCUAGUGUAGCGGUGAAAUGCGUAGAUAUUAGGAGGAACACCGGUGGCGAAGGCGACUUUCUGGACAACAACUGACGUUGAGGCACGAAAGUGUGGGGAGCAAACAGGAUUAGAUACCCUGGUAGUCCACACCGUAAACGAUGGAUACUAGGUGUAGGGAAUUAUUUAAUUUUCUGUGCCGUCGCAAACGCAGUAAGUAUCCCACCUGGGGAGUACGGCCGCAAGGUUGCAACUAAAAGGAAUUGACGGA